UCGCGAUCGCAAUCUGGCCCCCCUGAGGAGACGCCAUCUUAAAGGCUGAUCCCGGCCUGCCACUUCCGGUGCCGCCUGCGGGGCGGGACUUGUCGCCCAGCAACGAGGGCUUAGGUCUUUUCGGAUUCGUUGACCCUCUGGCCCGGCGGUCUCUGCCAGCCGCCGCUUAGGGUCGUCUAUCUCCUGUGACCACGACCCCGCUAAAGAAGCCCCUCCCGGGUCCUCUCCUCAUAAAGUCGCCCUCGUCGGCUGACGCGUACGCGUUACGGAGCUUCAUCUGGAUGGCAGGCCUUCUCCCGGCUCCCGGCGGGAUUUUCUCGGGGCUUUGCGGAGAGGGUGGCGGAGAGGGUGGCGGGGAGGGAGGGACCCCCAGGGACUUGGUAGUGAUCUUAUUCUGUCCCCCGCCCCCCCCGCCAUCCUCCCCUGCCGCCGGGGCUUGUGGUGGCGGCGAGUGGGGGGGGGGGCAGACCCUGGUUAAUGAUGAUGAUUCAAUCAUCGGCGCCUGCGGAGGCCUGGGACAGACUAAUGCAGAGCAGAUGCCGAAGGAGGAGGGGAGGAGGACUAGGACACUACCGCACAUAGACACGCUGAAGCAGCGAGCGCCUGCAGUAGCAUAGGCCCAGUCCCGUGCUUGGAGAGGACGCAGGAGCUCUAGACCGUGUGCACUGCCAUCCUUAGGUACUUCCAGUGGGAUUAAAAACCAAGGAUAAGUUUACUGUGAAGUAUUAGCGUCAAGUGCAGUUGGAGAAUCAAGGGAGAGACCCCAAUGGAGACCACCAAAGGCUUUCUGAAAGAAGUGGGACUUUGGGUGGUCACAGUUCAGAGAAUGGGGGUGGGGUGCCUGGAUAAGAAGUGUGGUGGAAAUGGAAAAGAAAGGCAGAUUCGAAGGGAUUGACCAGGGAGAGGGAUAGGAAAGAGGCAGAGGUGUGGAUGUGGGAGUAGUGAUAGAAACAGGGCCUAAUGGAGCUGGGACUUUAGCCUGAGGGCAAUAGGGAGCUAGCAGACCUUUUUUUUUGAAGGGAGGGAAUUAUUCUAUGAAAGAAAUAUUUUGCUCAUUUAUCUUCUAGUAAAUUGGAGUGGAUAAAGCAGCAAAAAGUGAUGAGAUUAGUGAUUUUUUAAUUAACCCCUUCUCACUACGUCCACUGCUUACCUCCCUGGUCCAAGAUACCAUCAUCUGUCCUCUGGAUGAUUGAUUGCAGUGGCUUCUUGCCUGCUUUCCUUGCUUCCACGUUUCCAUAUGAAUAAAAAAGGAUAGAAGUUAA